rnacentral:rRNA from 1 species
AGUGAACGCUGGCGGUAGGCCUAACACAUGCAAGUCGAACGGCAGCACAGUAAGAGCUUGCUCUUACGGGUGGCGAGUGGCGGACGGGUGAGGAAUACAUCGGAAUCUACUUUUUCGUGGGGGAUAACGUAGGGAAACUUACGCUAAUACCGCAUACGACCUACGGGUGAAAGCAGGGGAUCUUCGGACCUUGCGCGAUUGAAUGAGCCGAUGUCGGAUUAGCUAGUUGGCGGGGUAAAGGCCCACCAAGGCGACGAUCCGUAGCUGGUCGGAGAGGAUGAUCAGCCACACUGGAACUGAAGCACGGGUCCGACUCCUACGGGAGGGAGCAGUGGGGAAUAUUGGACAAUGGGCGCAAGCCUGAUCCAGCCAUACCGCGUGGGUGAAGAAGGCCUUCGGGUUGUAAAGCCCUUUUGUUGGGAAAGAAAAGCAGCAGGUUAAUACCCCGCUGUUCUGACGGUACCCAAAGAAUAAGCACCGGCUAACUUCGUG